rnacentral:miRNA from 1 species
UGUUAGAGGGGGAAGGAAUAGC